rnacentral:rRNA from 1 species
AGUGAACGCUGGCGGUAGGCCUAACACAUGCAAGUCGAACGGCAGCACAGUAAGAGCUUGCUCUUACGGGUGGCGAGUGGCGGACGGGUGAGGAAUACAUCGGAAUCUGCUUUUUCGUGGGGGAUAACGUAGGGAAACUUACGCUAAUACCGCAUACGACCUACGGGUGAAAGCAGGGGAUCUUCGGACCUUGCGCGAUUGAAUGAGCCGAUGUCGGAUUAGCUAGUUGACGGGGUAAAGGCCCACCAAGGCGACGAUCCGUAGCUGGUCUGAGAGGAUGAUCAGCCACACUGGAACUGAGACACGGUCCAGACUCCUACGGGAGGCAGCAGUGGGGAAUAUUGGACAAUGGGCGCAAGCCUGAUCCAGCCAUACCGCGUGGGUGAAGAAGGCCUUCGGGUUGUAAAGCCCUUUUGUUGGGAAAGAAAAGCAGCAGGUUAAUACCCCGCUGUUCUGACGGUACCCAAAGAAUAAGCACCGGCUAACUUCGUG